rnacentral:rRNA from 1 species
AUUGAACGCUGGCGGCAUGCCUUACACAUGCAAGUCGAACGGCAGCACGGGAGCAAUCCUGGUGGCGAGUGGCGAACGGGUGAGUAAUAUAUCGGAACGUGCCCAGUCGUGGGGGAUAACGUAGCGAAAGCUACGCUAAUACCGCAUACGAUCUAUGGAUGAAAGCGGGGGAUCGCAAGACCUCGCGCGAUUGGAGCGGCCGAUAUCAGAUUAGGUAGUUGGUGAGGUAAAGGCUCACCAAGCCGACGAUCUGUAGCUGGUCUGAGAGGACGACCAGCCACACUGGGACUGAGACGCGGCCCAGACUCCUACGGGAGGCAGCAGUGGGGAAUUUUUGGACAAUGGGCGCAAGCCUGAUCCAGCAAUGCCGCGUGCAGGAUGAAGGCCUU